rnacentral:misc_RNA from 1 species
AACGCAUAUUGCGCUCGAGGCUUCGGCCAAGAGCAUGUCUGCCUCAGCGUCGCUUUAAUCCCUCACACCUUCACAUAUACUCUGUGUGUAUGUGUAUGGUUGUGGACCUGGCUUUCUCAGUCGGCAAGCCGGCUGGGUUUGCUGAAGAGCAGAGGUUGAUGCAUGGACCCGUUAUGGGCCUCAGCUGGGUAGGCAAAUCACUUUGCUAAAUGCUUUAGCUGUUGGCUUGGGACUGUGCCUUGUCGGCCCGAACCAGGAAACUCUUCAAACUACUCAAACUUCGACCUGAGCUCAGGCAAGAACACCCGCUGAACUUAA